rnacentral:rRNA from 1 species
GACGAACGCUGGCGGCGUGCUUAACACAUGCAAGUCGAACGGUAAGGCCCUUCGGGAUACACGAGUGGCGAACGGGUGAGUAACACGUGGGUGAUCUGCCCUGCACUUCGGGAUAAGCCUGGGAAACUGGGUCUAAUACCGGAUAGGACUCCUGGCUUCAUGGUUGGGGGUGGAAAGCUUUUGCGGUGUGGGGUGGGCCCGCGGCCUAUCAGCUUGGUGGUGGGGUAAUGGCCUACCAAGGCGACGACGGGUAGCCGGCCUGAGAGGGUGACCGGUCACACUGGGACUGAGAUACGGCCCAGACUCCUACGGGAGGCAGCAGUGGGGAAUAUUGCACAAUGGGCGCAAGCCUGAUGCAGCGACGCCGCGUGAGGGAUGACGGCCUUCGGGUUGUAAACCUCUUUCAGCUAUGACGAAGCGCAAGUGACGGUAGUAGCAGAAGAAGGACCGGCCAACUACGUGCCAGCCGCCGCCGUAA